rnacentral:rRNA from 1 species
AUUGAACGCUGGCGGCAUGCCUUACACAUGCAAGUCGAACGGCAGCACGGGUGCUUGCACCUGGUGGCGAGUGGCGCACGGGUGAGUAAUACAUCGGAACAUGUCCUGUAGCGGGGGAUAGCCCGGCGAAAGCCGGAUUAAUACCGCAUACGAUCUACGGAUGAAAGCGGGGGCCCUUCGGGCCUCGCGCUAUAGGGUUGGCCGAUGGCUGAUUAGCUAGUUGGUGGGGUAAAGGCCUACCAAGGCGACGAUCAGUAGCUGGUCUGAGAGGACGACCAGCCACACUGGGACUGAGACACGGCCCAGACUCCUACGGGAGGCAGCAGUGGGGAAUUUUGGACAAUGGGCGAAAGCCUGAUCCAGCAAUGCCGCGUGUGUGAAGAAGGCCUUCGGGUUGUAAAGCACUUUUGGCCGGAAAGAAAUCCUUGGCCCUAAUACGGUCGGGGGAUGACGGUACCGGAAGAAUAAGCACCGGCUAACUACGUG